AAAUGAAUAGACGGGGACCCGCACAAGCAGCGGAGCAUGUGGUUUAAUUCGAAGCAACGCGAAGAACCUUACCAGGGCUUGACAUCCCUCUGACCGGUCGGUAACGCGACCUUCUCUUCGGAGCAGAGGUGACAGGUGGUGCAUGGUUGUCGUCAGCUCGUGUCGUGAGAUGUUGGGUUAAGUCCCGCAACGAGCGCAACCCUUGUCAUUAGUUGCCAUCAGGUAGAGCUGGGCACUCUAAUGAGACCGCCGGGGAUAACUCGGAGGAAGGUGGGGAUGACGUCAAAUCAUCAUGCCCCUUAUGUUCUGGGCUACACACGUGCUACAAUGGCCGGUACAAAGAGCAGCGACCACGCGAGUGCGAGCGAAACUUAAAAACCGGUCUCAGUUCGGAUUGCAGGCUGAAACCCGCCUGCAUGAAGCAGGAGUUGCUAGUAAUCGUGAAUCAGAAUGUCACGGUGAAUGCGUUCCCGGGUCUUGUACACACCGCCCGU
rnacentral:rRNA from 1 species